GCUGGGUGUGGUGGCGCACACCUGUGAUCCCAGCAACUCAGGAGGCUGAGGCAGGAGGAUCUUGGGUUCAAGGUCAGCCUUAGCCAUUUAGUGAGACUCUGCUUCAG
rnacentral:sRNA from 1 species